rnacentral:hammerhead_ribozyme from 1 species
GUCCGGCUGACGAGUCCCAAAUAGGACGAAACGUGCGUCCUGGAU